rnacentral:rRNA from 1 species
GACAGAGGUGGCAAGCGUUGUUCGGAUUUAUUGGGCGUAAAGAGCGCGUAGGCGGUCCUGUAAGUCGGGGGUGAAAUCCCGGGGCUUAACCCCGGAACUGCCCUCGAUACUGCUGGACUUGAGUGCGGGAGAGGGUAGUGGAAUUCCCAGUGUAGAGGUGAAAUUCGUAGAUAUUGGGAAGAACACCAGUGGCGAAGGCAGCUACCUGGACCGCAACUGACGCUGAGGCGCGAAAGCGUGGGGAG